AGCCCUGUGGUGUAAUGUCUCAUGCUGAAUUGCAAAUUCAGAGAAGCAGCUUCAAUCCUGCCGGGGCUU
rnacentral:tRNA from 1 species